ACAGGUCAAUGCUCUGAAGGGGCAUGUCAGUCUAGCGUCAUGCAUGCCAAGCUGACUGACAACCUGUCUGGCCUUCUCCCAACACAGAAGACCAUACAGAGAGUGCUGUGAACGUGCUCUCUGCAUGGUCUUAGUGCCCACUGCACAGUGUGAGCAUGACUAAUGCUGCUCUUGUGCUUUGCUGUGCUGUGCUGACUGGGGGAUGUGGGACACCAGGGAACUAAAUCGGGAUGUCGGGACAGGACCUGAAAAUAUUGACUGCCCUGCCCAAAGUGGGACAUUUGGGUGGCCUGUGUUGUUUGCAAGGGGAGAAGAUCACUUUAACUAUGCUGAAGUAUGU